rnacentral:rRNA from 1 species
GAUGAACGCUGGCGGCGUGCCUAAUACAUGCGAGUCGAGCGAACGGACGAGAAGCUUGCUUCUCUGAUGUUAGCGGCGGACGGGUGAGUAACACGUGGAUAACCUACCUAUAAGACUGGGAUAACUUCGGGAAACCGGAGCUAAUACCGGAUGAUAUUUUGAACGGCAUGGUUCAAAAGUGAAAGACGGUCUUGCUGUCACUUAUAGAUGGAUCCGCGCUGCAUUAGCUAGUUGGUAAGGUAACGGCUUACCAAGGCAACGAUGCAUAGCUGACCUGAGAGGGUGAUCAGCCACACUGGAACUGAGACACGGUCCAGACUCCUACGGGAGGCAGCAGUAGGGAAUCUUCCGCAAUGGGCGAAAGCCUGACGGAGCAACGCCGCGUGAGUGAUGAAGGUCUUCGGAUCGUAAAACUCUGUUAUUAGGGAAGAACAUAUGUGUAAGUAACUGUGCACAUCUUGACGGUACCUAAUCAGAAAGCCACGGCUAACUACGUG